GCAGCCUCCUGGGGGUGAGACUGUCCCUUCAAAAUCCCAGUGAGUGCCUUUUUUUCUUUCCCCCAGUGGCCUCUUCAGCCAGGCUAAGGGCAUUCUGUGCAACCCAGCCAGCUGCAAAUGUCACAUGACCUUGCCCUCCACUCCUAACUGGGGGAGGGAAGGAUUAUUUUCGAAAGCCAAGGUUUUAGCCAACCUAAUUUAAGCUCUGCCAGCUUGGCUGGAGCAAAUUGGUCCCAACUCAGAUCAAAACCCAUUCCUAGGCAGUUCUCAGUCUUCACAGGGGGCCACUCCCAGGACUCCUCCGGUCCAUGACCCAGGGAAGAUCAGGCAGGAGACACUUAAGUCCCUUUCAGAGAGGAUGAGGAACUAGCACUCUGUCUCCCAAACUCAGCCCCUGGAUAUCAUUGGGCUGCUUAUGGAAAAUAGCUAUCAAAAAGCCUAAACCAAACCAACCUUCCCCAAGGCUCUUAAGCAGAAACAUGGACAUCUCUGGUUCAGUUUCUCUGGACUCAAGGUGUUUCUAAUGUCUUGUGGCCUCCUUCAAACACUGAGAGCUUGCUGUAUGCCAAACCUGCACUAGGCCCUGGAACCCAAGGGCCUGAGGCGGAGACUGAAAGAAAUCCAAAAAAGAGGCGAUUCAACUCUACAACAAAGCCUGUGGGCAAGUUCAGACCAGAAACUCCCCAAACAAAAGGGGAUAUGGCUGUCCUUGGCUGGGCCCCAAGCAUGAAGCCAAGACCUGUGCUGGAGUCUCAGAAAUGUCCAACCAAGGGGUCCAACCCCCUUGGUGAUCUGUGUAUGCCAUUUGCAGGGGACCCUGGGAUCUGCACCACAGGACCUGAGGGGUAGGGGGCAAGGGGCAGGGGCAUGGAGCUAGCUGGGGCAGAUCAACUGCCUGAUUUCUGGCCUGUAUCAUACUCUCUCCCGGAAGUCUUCUGGCUCAAUAAAGUCAUACCUCUUAGG